rnacentral:misc_RNA from 1 species
GAUGAAGAACGUAGCGAAAUGCGAUAAGUAAUGUGAAUUGCAGAAUUCAGUGAAUCAUCGAAUCUUUGAACGCGCAUUGCGUCCGCCAGUAUUCUGGCGGGCAUGCCUGUUCGAGCGUCAUUACAACCCUCAGGCCCCCGGGCCUGGCGUUGGGGAUCGGCGGAGCCCCCCGUGGGCACACGCCGUCCCCCAAAUGCAGUGGCGGUCCCGCCGCAGCUUCCAUCGCGUAGUAGCUAACACCUCGCGUCUGGAGAGCGGCGCGGCCACGCCGUAAAACACCCAACUCUUCUGAAGUUGACCUCGAAUCAGGUAGGAAUACCCGCUGAACUUAAGCAUAUCAAUAAGCGGAGGA